rnacentral:rRNA from 1 species
GACAGAGGGUGCAAACGUUGUUCGGAAUUACUGGGCGUAAAGCGUGCGCAGGCGGCUUUGCAAGUCGGGAGUGAAAUCCCAGGGCUUAACCCUGGAAUUGCUUUCGAAACUGCAAGGCUUGAGUAUCGGAGAGGUUAGCGGAAUUCCCAGUGUAGAGGUAAAAUUCGUAGAUAUUGGGAGGAACACCAGUGGCGUAAGCGGCUAACUAGACGAUAACUGACGCUCAGGCACGAAAGCGUGGGGAUCAAACAGG